GGAGAGAUGGCCGAGAGGUCUAAAGCGUCGGAUUGCUAAUCCGUUGUACAAUUUCUACGUACCGAGGGUUCGAAUCCCUCUCUCUCCU
rnacentral:tRNA from 2 species